GUCGAGGAUCUUCGGCAAUGGGCGCAAGCCUGACCGAGCGACGCCGCGUGUGCGAUGAAGGCCUUCGGGUUGUAAAGCACUGUCGAGGGGGAGGAAGCCGCAAGGUUGACCUAUCCCUGGAGGAAGCACGGGCUAAGUUCGUGCCAGCAGCCGCGGUAAGACGAACCGUGCGAACGUUGUUCGGAUUCACUGGGCUUAAAGGGCGCGUAGGCGGGUUACCAAGUCAGGGGUGAAAUCUUUCGGCUCAACCGGAAAACGGCCCCUGAUACUGGUAGUCUUGAGGGAGGUAGGGGCAGGUGGAACUUCCGGUGGAGCGGUGAAAUGUGUUGAUAUCGGAAGGAACGCCGGUGGCGAAAGCGACCUGCUGGAUCUCUUCUGACGCUGAGGCGCGAAAGCUAGGGGAGCGAACGGGAUUAGAAACCCCUGUAGUCC
rnacentral:rRNA from 1 species